UAGUACGAAAAACUUUCGAGUUCGUUUCGUUUGCGUAUUCAAAGUGCCAUCGAAAAAUUUUGUAUGAAAAAUUAAACAGCGCCCCCUAUAGGUCAUAAAAAGAAAAAAACACCUAACUUUCGAUUUUCUUUCGUAUCGAGUUCAAAUACUAGGCGUGACGAAAGAUGGAUUUUGUAUGAAAUAACGUAGUACGAACCUAAUUUUGACAAUCAACGGUCGUUUCGUUGUCGUUGAAAUCAUCGAAUGUUGUGUCACUGUCAAUUUUGUUGUGAGAAGAUUACGUUGAUAUAAAUUUUACGUGUUUUUGAGGCUUACAUGUGGAGAUUAUGUGGUCGGCGAAUUUAUUUCCUUGUUUGGCAUCAUUUAGAUUGUUUAGAUGCUUUAAGUUAAGAGAUUAGGAAGCAUCCCAACAGCAGGUAUUUGACCACAAUCGCACAUGAUGUUAAGAGGGAUGCAGUCUAGGAUGGUACAUAUCUGCCCUGUAAGAUACCUACUUAUGUGACAAAUUGCCGGAAAGAUAGUCUUAUGGCAACAAAAAGAGUGUCCUUGGAACACAAGGCAAGUACAUAAUUUAUUCAUACAUUCUGUCUACUCUACAUACCACAUGAUUUCUUUGUCAUUUGAUAGAUAAUAAUUAUUACAGGUUAUAUUAUGUGCUAUGCAUUAAGAUGCAUCCAGUUCAUACCAAGGCACUGAUGGUAUGAAGAAGCAUUUGGAAUUACUUAACCAAUGCUCUCAAUACCCCCAACAUACUCGGAGAAGUAGGUACCUACCCUACCCAAACCUUACAAAGAUCCAGCUCCGGCACAGAAUAAGUAAUAGGACUAAGGUUCCUAGGCACACUUAAGAAAUACCAUCAACACUUGCGGGCAAAUAGACAUUAAUGGGAUUAAAACAAAAUAU